rnacentral:lncRNA from 1 species
UGAAAAGAACAGUAAAAUGGAGUGAUCGGGAUAUAUAUGAGAGAGCUUUUUUCCACUUAUAAUUCAACUCAUGUAAUUAGCAGUAUAUCUGAGACAGCUUUUUUCCACUUACUAAUUCAAAAAUUGUUGUCCCAUUACACCAAGCAAUCCAAAUGAUGGGUACUGAUUUGUUAUGAACACUGAUAUGUAUUUCCAUUUUCUAAAAAAAACUGAUAUACCAAAUGAAA